rnacentral:tRNA from 2 species
CGGCGGCAUGGCGGACGGCGUGACGCCGCGCCGCCUGGGCAGCGGGGAGCUGGGCCGGGUGCUCGGCCUCACCGUCGCCCCC